rnacentral:ncRNA from 1 species
AAAGAUUUGGUCCUGAUCUUAUUAUUAAUUCAAAUUAUGAUUAUACAUGCAAGCCUCAACACCCCGGUGAGAAUUCCCGUUAUCGCCAAUCAGAAAUAAUGGAGAAGGUAUCAGGCACCAAUAGCCCAAGACACCUUGCUAAGCCACACCUAUACAGGAAAUCAGCAGUAAUAAGCAUUAAACAAUGAGUGUCAACUUGAUUCAGCAAUAAUUUUAUAGAGCCGGUAAAUCUCGUGCCAGCCACCGCGGUUAUACGAAAGACUCAAAUUAAUAUAUGCGGCCCAAAGAGCAGUUAAAGAAAUUAAUUAAGAUUAAGAAUUAUCCAAGCUGUUAUACGCAAAAGAAAAUCAAAAACCCAACAGAUCGCCUUAAUAAACUUGAACCUGUCAAAGCUAAGAAACAAACUGGGAUUAGAUACCCCACUAUGCCUAGCCAUAAAUUUUGGACACACCCGCCAGAGCACUACGAGCUACAGCUUAAAAUUCAAAGGACUUGGCGGCACUAUAUACCACCUAGAGGAGCCUGUUCUGUAAUCGAUAACCCCCGAUAAACCUCACCAUCCCUUGCUAAUACAGCCUAUAUACCACCGUCUUCAGCUUACCCUUCAAAUGAAUAACAGUAAGCGAGAACAUUUUAAAUAAAAAAGUCAGGUCAAGGUGUAGCACAUGAGAUGGGAAGAAAUGGGCUACAUUUUCUUAACAGAAAAUACGAAAUAUUUUAUGAAAUAAAAUAUGAAGGCGGAUUUAGUAGUAAAAAGAAAAAAGAGUGUUCUUUUUAAAUAGGCAAUAUAGUGCGCACACACCGCCCGUCACCCUCCUCACAACAGUAUCUAAUUAAAUAAAAUAUACAUCUAAUAAAGAAGAGGAAAGUCGUAACAUGGUAAGUCUACCGGAAGGUGGACUUGGAUAU